CAAUAACAUUCACCACAUUUUGGAUGUUUAUUUAAGGAACUAAUGUGCCAAGUAUUUCGAUUUACGGAGGAACCACAGCUGUCGCAGGGGAAUUUCCUUUUAUGGCUUCUUUAUUGGUAGGUAGCAGCUCAUUAUGUGGUGCAACUCUUAUUGGGCCAUCCCAUCUAUUAACAGCAGCUCAUUGCAUAGAGAAUGCAACUGCCGCAGAUUUGAAACGUUUCAAAAUAAGCAUUAACGGGUUAAAUAUUCUGGGCAAUGAUACGACGACAAUCAAAAGAAAUGCCAGCAAAUUCAUCAAACACGAAAGUUACGUCCACACAAACCUUCUCAUUGAUCACGACAUCGCCAUUGUGGUUUUGAGUUCGCCAGUGAAAAACAUC